rnacentral:tRNA from 1 species
AACUUAAGUAGUUUAUUUAAAAUAUUGACUUGUGGCGUCAAAGAAGUAGUUUAUAUCUUAAGU